rnacentral:rRNA from 1 species
UACGAAGGGUGCAAGCGUUACUCGGAAUUACUGGGCGUAAAGCGUGCGUAGGUGGUUUGUUAAGUCUGCUGUGAAAGCCCCGGGCUCAACCUGGGAAUGGCAGUGGAUACUGGGCAAGCUAGAGUGCGGUAGAGGGGUGUGGAAUUCCCGGUGUAGCGGUGAAAUGCGUAGAGAUCGGGGAGGAACACCAGUGGCGAAGGCGGCACCCUGGACCAGCACUGACACUGAGGCACGAAAGCGUGGGGAGCAAACAGG